rnacentral:rRNA from 1 species
AGAAUCAACGCUGGCGGCGUGCCUAACACAUGCAAGUCGCACGAGAAAGGGUAGCAAUACCUGAGUAAAGUGGCGCACGGGUGAGUAACACGUGAAUGAUCUACCUCCGAGUGGGGAAUAACUGAGAGAAAUCUUAGCUAAUACCGCAUAACACUUACGAGUCAAAGCAGCAAUGCGCUUGGGGAGGAGGUCGCGGCCGAUUAGCUAGUUGGCGGGGUAAUGGCCCACCAAGGCGAUGAUCGGUAUC